rnacentral:rRNA from 1 species
CCUACGGGAGACUGCAGUGGGGAAUAUUGCACAAUGGGGGAAACCCUGAUGCAGCGACGCCGCGUGAGUGAGGAAGUAUUUCGGUAUGUAAAGCUCUAUCAGCAGGGAAGAAAAUGACGGUACCUGACUAAGAAGCCCCGGCUAACUACGUGCCAGCAGCCGCGGUAAUACGUAGGGGGCAAGCGUUAUCCGGAUUUACUGGGUGUAAAGGGAGCGUAGACGGCAACUCAAGUCAGAAGUGAAAACCCAGGGCUCAACUUUGGGACUGCUUUUGAAACUGAGUAGCUGGAGUGCAGGAGAGGUAAGCGGAAUUCCUAGUGUAGCGGUGAAAUGCGUAGAUAUUAGGAGGAACACCAGUGGCGAAGGCGGCUUACUGGACUGUAACUGACGUUGAGGCUCGAAAGCGUGGGGAGCAAACAGGAUUAGAUACCCGAGUAGUC